GCAAGUCGAACGGCAGCACGGGGGCAACCCUGGUGGCGAGUGGCGAACGGGUGAGUAAUACAUCGGAACGUGUCCUGUAGUGGGGGAUAGCCCGGCGAAAGCCGGAUUAAUACCGCAUACGAUCUACGGAAGAAAGCGGGGGAUCUUCGGACCUCGCGCUGCAGGGGCGGCCGAUGGCAGAUUAGCUAGUUGGUGGGGUAAAGGCCUACCAAGGCGACGAUCUGUAGCUGGUCUGAGAGGACGACCAGCCACACUGGGACUGAGACACGGCCCAGACUCCUACGGGAGGCAGCAGUGGGGAAUUUUGGACAGUGGGGCCAACCCUGAUCCAGCAAUGCCGCGUGUGUGAAGAAGGCCUUCGGGUUGUAAAGCACUUUUGUCCGGAAAGAAAACCAACGCCCUAAUAUGGUGGUGGGAUGGGUACCGGAAGAAUAAGCACCGGCUAACUACGUGCCAGCAGCCGCGGUAAUACGUAGGGUGCGAGCGUUAAUCGGAAUUACUGGGCGUAAAGCGUGCGCAGGCGGUCUGUUAAGACCGAUGUGAAAUCCCCGGGCUUAACCUGGGAACUGCAUUGGUGACUGGCAGGC
rnacentral:rRNA from 1 species